AGAGUUUGGAUCCUGGCUCAGGACGAACGUUGGCGGUGCGCUUAAUGCAUGCAAGUCGAGGGAGAACCUUUCGAUCCGUAAGGACCGAAUGGGGAAACCGGCGAACGGGUGCGUAACACGUGAGGAACCUGCCCCGAAGACCGGGAUAGCCCGAGGAAACUCGGAUUAAUACCGGAUACCCUCCUCGGACCACAUGGUCUGUUGAGGAAAUGGUCCGCCGCUUCGGGAUGGCCUCGCGGCCUAUCAGCUUGUUGGUGAGGUAAUGGCUCACCAAGGCAAAGACGGGUAGCUGGUCUGAGAGGACGAUCAGCCACACUGGGACUGAGACACGGCCCAGACUCCUACGGGAGGCAGCAGCAGGGAAUAUUGCACAAUGGGCGAAAGCCUGAUGCAGCGACACCGCGUGCGGGAUGAAGGCCCUCGGGUUGUAAACCGCUUUCAGGAGGGACGAAAAUGACGGUACCUCCAGAAGAAGGCCCGGCCAACUACGUGCCAGCAGCCGCGGUAAUACGUAGGGGCCAAACGUUGUCCGGAUUUAUUGGGCGUAAAGGGCUCGUAGGCGGUUCAACAAGUCGAUCGUGAAAGCCCGGGGCUCAACCCCGGGACGCCGGUCGAAACUGUUGUGACUAGGGUCCGGUAGAGGUGAGUGGAAUUCUCGGUGUAGCGGUGGAAUGCGCAGAUAUCGAGAGGAACACCAGU
rnacentral:rRNA from 1 species